rnacentral:lncRNA from 1 species
GAAAUAAUAUUUGGUGCAACUAAAUACACAACAGCCAUUGACAUUUGUUCUAGGUACGUACAGGCCGUUUAGUUGCUAAAUUUUUUUCCUUAUUUCAAUGCAUUUUCACUUUAAAUUACUUAACAAAUAUUACUUUUUGGACUCCAGCCUCUGUUUGCUGGUGAGAGUGGAGUAGACCAGGUACGUUUUAUUAAGGUACGUUUUAAAUAUUUUAAAGAUUCAAAGUAUAUAGGCUGGAAACCUGACCUUAUAGUAUUAAUUAUUUGAAGUAUGAAUAAGUAUGAAUUAAUUUUAUUACCAUAUAUGUAGCUUGCUUGUCCAUUAUAAUUACAACAAUAGCUGACCUUCUCUCCAACCUUAUUUUAAAUAUUUUAAAUAUUCAAAGUAUAUAGGCUGGAAACCUGACGGGUUGCCUUAUAUCGAGCUGCAAGAUAUAAUGGAUCCUCCCUAGGUGUAACAACGCCACGUAUGAUGAAUCUUAAAAAAUUCAAAAAGAAUUGAAAAAAGUUCUAUCGCUAUUGAAUAUUCAUAUAACCUUAAUUUAUUUCCAAUUUACUUAUAAAAAUUAAACUACGAUUCUUUCUUGAUAUUAUUAUAUUCAAAUUACUAUUUUGUUAUAUUAAACAUGUUUGAUUUUAAUAUUUAAUAUUUUUAUAUAUCUUUAAAAGUUAUAACUAAUUUUUAUCAAAAUAGUAUUAAUUAUUAUUUGAAGUAUGAAUAAGUAUGAAUAAGUUUUUAUAUUUUGGUUCAACUUAAGUAUUAUUUGACUCAACUUAAUUAUGAAUUAAUUUUAUUACCAUAUAUGUAGCUUGCUUGUCCAUUCCUUAUUUUAAAUAUUUUAAAGAUUCAAAGUAUAUAGGCUGGAAACCUGACGGGUUGCCUUAUAUCGAGCUGCAAGAUAUAAUGGAUCCUCCCUAGGUGUAACAACGCCACGUAUGAUGAAUCUUAAAAAAUUCAAAAAGAAUUGAAAAAAGUUCUAUCGCUAUUAAAUAUUUAUAUAACCUUAAUUUAUUUCCAAUUUACUUAUAAAAAUUAAACUACGAUUCUUUCUUGAUAUUAUUAUAUUCAAAUUACUAUUUUGUUAUAUUAAACAUAUUUGAUUUUAAUAUUUAAUAUUUUUAAAUUCCUUUAAAAGUUAUAACUAAUUUUUAUCAAAAUAGUAUUAAUUAUUAUUUGAAGUAUGAAUAAGUAUGAAUAAGUUUUUAUAUUUUGGUUCAACUUAAGUAUUAUUUGAUUCAACUUAAGUAUGAAUUAAUUUUAUUACCAUAUAUGUAGCUUGCUUGUCCAUUCCUUAUUUUAAAUAUUUUAAAGAUUCAAAGUAUAUAGGCUGGAAACCUGACGGGUUGCCUUAUAUAGAGCUGCAAGAUAUAAUGGAUCCUCCCUGGGUGUAACAACGCCACGUAUGAUGAAUCUUAAAAAAUUCAAAAAGAAUUAAAAAAAUUUCUAGUGCUAUUGAAUAUUUAUAUAACCUUAAUUUAUUUCCAAUUUACUUAUAAAAAUUAAACUACGAUUCUUUCUUGAUAUUAUUAUAUUCAAAUUACUAUUUUGUUAUAUUAAACAUGUUUGAUUUUAAUAUUUAAUAUUUUUAAAUGUCUUUAAAAGUUAUAACUAAUUUUUAUUAAAAUAGUAUUAAUAUUGAUCAUUACUUAAAUAAAUUACAUAACUCACAUAACGUACAUAACAACUUACAUAACUUAACUAAUACAUGUAGUUUAAUCUAAUAAUUUCCUUAAAAGCAUACAGUUUAAAAGUUCAAAUUUCAUAACUUACAUAAUCUACAUAACUUACAUAAAACAUAAAUAUAUAUCAUAUCAAGACUUACAUAAUAAACAACUUACCCGUGAAACUUAUUGCCAACUUUAGACUUCAACAACUACGAAAUGGAUAGGACUUGGAUGAAUUUCUCAAGGGCAAGCAACGAGUAUCAAAAUGGAGUGCAAUCUUUUCUAGAUUUUGCAUUUCACAAUUCAAGCCAAGAGAAUAUGAUUCUUUGCCCGUGUAAGAAGUGUGGCAAUAUCUAUUGGCAUUAUCGUGAAGUUGUCUACGAACAUCUAAUUGUUGAUGGCUUCAUUCAGGGGAAUAAAAAAUGGAUUUUCCAUGGAGAGUGUACACCUAGUGGAGCCUCUUCGACGAUUAAUCCAGGUUAUCCUUAUAGUGGUUACCGUUAGCAUGUUAGAGAAGAUGACAUGGAAGGUAUAAUGCAGGAUGCAUUUAAUAUGCGGAGUGAAAGUUUCCAAUCAUUUCCACCAAACUAUGUUGCAUCUGAUGAUUAUAAUAUCAGUGGGAAUGCUUUUAUGGAAACGAGAAGAAGUGUACCGGAUGAACAACGGAAUGAAGAAGCGGCGAAGUUCUACACGUUACUUGGUGAAAUGAAUGAAGAACUUUAUGAGGGAUCAAAAUUUUCGAAAAUGUCAUUCUAUAUUUGACUUUUCAACUUAAAAUGUUUGGGAAGGUGGACCGGAAACUCUUUGACAAUGCUGUUAGAGCUUUUGAGAGAAAUGUUCUCAUUUGCAAAAAUCCCUCAAUCAUGUAAAGACAUGAAGAAAGUGAUAAAAGAUUUGGGCCUUGGGUACAACAAAAUUCAUAGUUGCCCAAAUGAUUGCAUGUUGUAUUGGGGUGAUCAGAGAAAUCAACAGUCAUGUCAUGUUUGCAGUAAAUCUCGUUGGAUGAAUAGAGAUGCAGAAGAUGUUAAUGAGGAUGAAUAUGGGCCAAAGUGAAGAAGGAAGCCGAACAAGAUUUUGCGAUAUUUCCCGCUAAUCCCAAGGCUUCAAAGGCUAUUCAUGUCGUCAAAGACAGCUGAGUUUAUGACUUGGCAUCAUGAUCAACCAACAGAUGAUGGAUUAUUAAGGCAUCCUGCAGAUUCUUUUGCAUGGAAAUCAUUUGACAAUAAAUUUCCAAGCUUUGCAAGUGAUCCUCGGAGUGUAAGGCUCGGGUUAGCAUCUGACGGAUUUAAUCCUUUUAAAAUCAUGAGCACCUCGUACAGUACUUGGCCUGUGGUCCUUGUUCCUUAUAAUUUGCCUCCAUGGCUCUGCAUGAAGCAAUCUUCUUUGAUAUUAUCUAUGAUUAUCCCCAGAGAGAAAGGCCCCAGAAAUGAUAUUGACAUAUAUCUGCAGCCACUUAUUGAAGAGUUAAAACAAUUAUGGGCGGGUGUUGAGACGUAUGAUGUAUUGAGAAAUGAGAACUUUUACCUACAUGCUGCUUUGAUGUGGACAAUUAAUGAUUUCUCGGCAUAUGCGAAUUUAUCGAGUUGGAGUACCAAAGGACGUUAUGCUUGUCCUUGUUGUGUUACUCAAACUUGUUCACAGUGGUUAUAUAAUGGGAAGAAGUUCUACUAUAUGGGGCAUCGUCGGUGGUUAGAUGAAAAUCAUAGAUAUAGAUUUCAGAAGGCUUUAUUUGACGGUACUGAAGAGUUGAAAAAAGCUCCUAAGCAGACUAUUGGAUCUGAAAUCUUAUUCAUGUUAAAAGAUAUGGAUUUCAGUUACGGGAAGCUGAAUCAACCAUCUAACAGGCAAACAAAUAGAUGAUCGAGGGAUGAAUCUGAUGAUGAAUCUAACGAGGAGGAUGACCCUAAUGAGGCGGACUUGUGGAAGAAAAGAAGUAUUUUUUUUGAGUUGCCUUAUUGGGAGUAUCACAUAUUACGCCACAAUCUUGAUGUGAUGCAUAUUGAGAAGAAUGUCUGUGAGAACAUCAUCUGGACAAUUUUGAACGUCGAUGGUAAAUCAAAAGAUAAUCUUCAAAGUCAACUUGAUUUAGUUCACAUGGGAAUUAGGCGUGAUCUUCAUCCCCAAGUACUUCCUAAUGGAAAAUAUUGGUUGCCGCCUACAAUUUUUGCAAUGUCAAAGGAAGAGAAAGAAAUGUUCUGCACGGUAUUGAAGGAUAUAAAGGUUCCGAAUGCGUAUUCAUCAAAUAUAUCUCGAUGUGUAAGUCUUAAAGAUCGAAGACUAUAUUCAUUAAAAUCACAUGACUAUCACAUCCUGAUGCAAGAUCUACUUCCAGUUGCUUUACGGUGCUGUAUGUCAAAGAAGGUAAUGUCCUGUAUAAUUGAGCUGUCCAAUAUAAUGAAAGCAAUUUGUGGCAAAGUUCUGAAUGUUGAAGAACUUGAAAAAGUACAAGAUCGAGCCACUUUGACAUUAUGCAAUUUGGAGAAGAUCUUUCCACCUUCCUUCUUCACUAUUAUGGUGCACCUUGUCAUUCAUCUCCCUCGUGAAGCAAUAAUUGGUGGGCCGGUUUUCUAUCGUUGGAUGUAUCCAAUUGAAAGGUGCUAAUUUAUUUCAAAGGCAUUCACCUUUAUACCUAUAGUUACCAGUUUUGAUAAUGUUGUAUAUGGUGUUUAGGUUCCUAAGCAAAUUGAAGUCUUAUUGCAGUAACAAGCGUUAUCCGGAAGGAUCAAUUGCUGAAGGCUACUUGGCAGAGGAGUGUAUGACAUUCUGUUCUAGAUAUUUAGAUGUUGAAACAAGAUUGAAUAGACCAAGUAGAAAUGCCGGACUCAAUGAUCCUAACUUGGACAAAACUUAUUUAUUUCAAAGUUAUGGAGAACCAAUCGGCAAAGUUGAAAUUGUAGAAUUAGAUGACCGAUCUUGGAUACAAGCACAUAGAUAUGUUCUUUUCCACCACGAUGCACUUGAACAAUUACGCAAGUAAGUUCUAGAAUAUGAUAAAUAUUCUUCUUUUUUUGAUUUGUUUAUUUUUUAACGAAUUAAACAUGUGUUUAACAUAGUGAGUACAAACAAAUCUUAAGAUCUCGUCCACGCUCACGAAGAUUACAACAUCGCGAGAUUAAUAGGUUAUUCGCAGAAUCUUUUCAUGAAUGGUUAAGCCAAACGGUAUGCAACUCAACAUUUUGUUGACAAAUAAUAAUGUUUUCUCAUAACAUUUAUAAUUACUCAAUUUACUUUCGAUUCAAUAGGUUUGGAGUGGGAAUAUCGUUAAUGACGAAGUUAAAUGGCUUUCCUAAGGUCCGAAUCGAGUAGUAAAAAGAUAUAGUGGCUUCAUCAUGAAUGGAUUCAGAUUUCAUACCAAAUAUCGCGAAAGAUUGAGGAGAACUCAAAAUUGUGGAGUAGUUGUUAGUUCUUUAAUUACAAGUUACGCUAGUGCUAGGGACAGUAAUCCUAUCGAGGGAAAUGUGGAGUAUUAUGGACUUCUAACUGACAUUAUUGAGUUGGAUUAUUAUGGAAAAUGGAAAGUUGUCUUAUUUCGAUGUGAUUGGGCUGAUGCUAAUACUGCUCGCAGAAUUAAAAAUGAUCAGUUUGGUUUUACAAUGGUGAAUUUCUCUCGAUUAAUUCACACUGGAAAACAUUUGAUAGACAAGCCGUAUGUAUUUUCUUCUCAAGUUAAACAAGUUUUUUACUCGACAGAUCCAAUUGAUGAGGGUUGGUACGUUGUACUCUGAAACACCCCUAGAGACUUGUUUGACAUGGGGAAUGGAAGUAGAGAUGACAUCGGUGAAAGAUCAGAAACUUUGCCUUUUUCAGAACAAGACUUAGAUGAAAAUAUCCCUAGUACUAGUACACAAUUUCAAUGGGUUCGUCAGGAUGUAGACGAAGAUAUUUACGAUUUAUGAUGUAGUAAGAUUUUAUGAUUUUUUAUUUAUAUGUAAUGUCACAAUAUUAACAUUGGUCAUGUUAUAUAAUUUAACUAUUUUAUAUUUACUAUUGUUGUUAUUUCUUACUAAAAUUUUAUCUAUUUUAUGUGUUGCAGGAAAAAUGCCUAGAAGAAGAUUAAGAGAUCUUAGUAUUGUACAGAAUACUACAAAUUCGGAAGAAGUAAGUACUGAACAGCAGACAGUUGUUGGAUCUUCAAGCGUGCCGGAGAC